rnacentral:rRNA from 1 species
GAUGAACGCUAGCGGCAGGCUUAACACAUGCAAGUCGAGGGGUAUAGGGAGCUUGCUUCCUAGAGACCGGCGCACGGAUGCGUAACGCGUAUGCAAUCUACCUUUUGCAGAGGAUAGCCCAGAGAAAUUUGGAUUAAUACCUCAUAGUAUGUGAGAAUGGCAUCAUUUUCACAUUAAAGUCACAACGGCAAAAGAUGAGCAUGCGUCCCAUUAGCUUGUUGGUAAGUAACGGCUUACCAAGGCAACCGAUA